rnacentral:rRNA from 1 species
GGCGAACGGGUGAGUAAUGUAUCGGAACGUACCUUUCAGUGGGGGAUGACGUAGCGAAAGUUACGCUAAUACCGCAUAUUCUGUGAGCAGGAAAGCAGGGGAUCGCAAGACCUUGCGCUGAUUGAGCGGCCGAUAUCAGAUUAGCUAGUUGGUGAGGUAAAGGCUCACCAAGGCGACGAUCUGUAGCGGGUCUGAGAGGAUGAUCCGCCACACUGGAACUGAGACACGGUCCAGACUCCUACGGGAGGCAGCAGUGGGGAAUUUUGGACAAUGGGGGCAACCCUGAUCCAGCCAUGCCGCGUGAGUGAAGAAGGCCUUCGGGUUGUAAAGCUCUUUCAGCCGGGAAGAAAUCACAUGGGUUAAUACCCUGUGUGGAUGACGGUACCGGAAUAAGAAGCACCGGCUAACUACGUGCCAGCAGCCGCGGUAAUACGUUGGGUGCGAGCGUUAAUCGGAAUUACUGGGCGUAAAGCGUGCGCAGGCGGUUUGUUAAGAUAGGCGUGAAAUCCCCGGGCUCAACCUGGGAACUGCGUUUAUGACUGGCAGGCUAGAGUAUGGCAGAGGGGGGUGGAAUUCCACGUGUAGCAGUGAAAUGCGUAGAGAUGUGGAGGAACACCGAUGGCGAAGGCAGCCCCCUGGGCCAAUACUGACGCUCAUGCACGAAAGCGUGGGUAGCAAACAGGAUUAGAUACCCUGGUAGUCCACGCCCUAAACGAUGUCAACUAGGUGUUGGGUGGGUAAAACCAUUUAGUACCGGAGCUAACGCGUGAAGUUGACCGCCUGGAGAGUACGGCCGCAAGG